rnacentral:rRNA from 1 species
GACGGAGGAUGCAAGCGUUAUCCGGAAUUAUUGGGCGUAAAGCGUCCGCAGGUGGCGAUUUAAGUCUGCUGUCAAAGACCACAGCUUAACUGUGGGCAGGCAGUGGAAACUGGAUUGCUAGAGUGCGGCAGGGGUAGAGGGAAUUCCCAGUGUAGCGGUGAAAUGCGUAGAUAUUGGGAAGAACACCAGUGGCGAAGGCGCUCUACGGGGCCGCAAAUGACAUUCAUGGACGAAAGCUAGGGGAGCGAAUGGG